GUACAAUGUCAGAAACUGCGAAAAAUAAAAUUUCGAAAAACGUCGAUUGUUGGCUGUUUUGCUUCUGGUGGUUAAGUACUGCUCUACUUGUGAAGUAAGUAUAUGGGAAGACAAUAGGUAGCUUUCUUCCCAAAGUCCCUUGCGUCAGGUAACAUUCUGAUCGCUGGUUGGUUGGUUGCUUGUUUGAUACAGUGAAGUGUGCAAUUACAUUUUUGCUAAGGAUAUUUGUUGGUUAUAGUUCUUCAGCUUUCUUAUU
rnacentral:lncRNA from 1 species